UCACGGUCCACUUCGGUGGCGCGCACACAGGUGCUGCAUGGCUGUCGUCAGCUCGUGUCGUGAGAUGUUGGGUUAAGUCCCGCAACGAGCGCAACCCACGUCCUUAGUUGCCAUCAUUCAGUUGGGCACUCUAGGGAGACUGCCGGUGAUAAGCCGCGAGGAAGGUGUGGAUGACGUCAAGUCCUCAUGGCCCUUACGGGAUGGGCUACACACGUGCUACAAUGGCGGUGACAGUGGGACGCNAAGGAGCGAUCUGGAGCAAAUCCCCAAAAGCCGUCUCAGUUCGGAUUGCACUCUGCANCUUGGGUGCAAAAAGGCGG
rnacentral:rRNA from 1 species